rnacentral:rRNA from 1 species
GACAGAGGGUGCAAACGUUGUUCGGAAUUACUGGGCGUAAAGCGUGUGUAGGCGGCCUCGUAAGUCAGGUGUGAAAGCCCCAGGCUCAACCUGGGAAGUGCACUUGAUACUGCGUGGCUUGAGUAUCGGAGAGGUUGGUGGAAUUCUCGGUGUAGAGGUGAAAAUUCGUAGAUAUCGAGAGGAACACCGGUGGCGAAGGCGGCCAACUGGACGAAU